rnacentral:rRNA from 1 species
GACGAACGCUGGCGGCGUGCUUAACACAUGCAAGUCGAGCGGUAAGGCCCUUUCGGGGGUACACGAGCGGCGAACGGGUGAGUAACACGUGGGUGACCUGCCCUCAGCUCUGGGGUAAGCCCGGGAAACUGGGUCUAAUACUGGAUAUGACUCCAUGACGCAUGUUGUGGGGUGGAAAGCCUUGUGCGGCUGAGGAUGGGCCCGCGGCCUAUCAGCUUGUUGGUGGGGUGAUGGCCUACCAAGGCGACGACGGGUAGCCGGCCUGAGAGGGCGACCGGCCACACUGGGACUGAGACACGGCCCAGACUCCUACGGGAGGCAGCAGUGGGGAAUCUUGCGCAAUGGGCGAAAGCCUGACGCAGCGACGCCGCGUGAGGGAUGACGGCCU